rnacentral:rRNA from 1 species
GACGAACGCUGGCGGCGUGCUUAACACAUGCAAGUCGAGCGGAAAGGCCCUUCGGGGUACUCGAGCGGCGAACGGGUAAGUAACACGUGAGUAACCUGCCCCAGACUUUGGGAUAACCCUCGGAAACGGGGGCUAAUACCGGAUACGACACAGCUUCGCAUGGGGUCUGUGUGGAAAGUUUUUCGGUUUGGGAUGGGCUCGCGGCCUAUCAGCUUGUUGGUGGGGUGAUGGCCUACCAAGGCGACGACGGGUAGCCGGCCUGAGAGGGCGACCGGCCACACUGGGACUGAGACACGGCCCAGACUCCUACGGGAGGCAGCAGUGGGGAAUAUUGCACAAUGGGCGGAAGCCUGAUGCAGCGACGCCGCGUGAGGGAUGACGGCCUUCGGGUUGUAAACCUCUUUCAGCAGGGACGAAGCGUAAGUGACGGUACCUGCAGAAGAAGCGCCGGCCAACUACGUG